AGUAGAUCAGCGUACCUGUAGCCAACAGCAUCUUCAAAGAAAUUUGUAACCACUUGCGUAGAAGGAAGCGAAAAUCAAGAUGAAGAUUGUUUUGAUUUUGUUUGCAGUUGUUCUCUUUGUUUCUGGAGCUGACGCUCUUAAGUGUUAUGUGUGUGAUAACUGUAGUAGUCCUACAAAAAGCACUGAAUGCGACUCGAAGAGCGACAGAUGUCAACUCGAUGUGCUUAGCGGAA